rnacentral:rRNA from 1 species
UACGUAGGGGCCAAGCGUUGUUCGGAUUUACUGGGCGUAAAGGGCGCGUAGGCGGCUUGACAAGUCACUUGUGAAAUCUCCGGGCUUAACUCGGAACGGCCAAGUGAAACUGUCAUGCUAGAGUGCAGAAGGGGCAAUCGGAAUUCUUGGUGUAGCGGUGAAAUGCGUAGAUAUCAAGAGGAACACCUGAGGUGAAGACGGGUUGCUGGGCUGACACUGACGCUGAGGCGCGAAAGCCAGGGGAGCAAACGGG